rnacentral:rRNA from 1 species
UACGGAGGGGGCUAGCGUUGUUCGGAAUUACUGGGCGUAAAGCGCACGUAGGCGGCUUUGUAAGUCAGAGGUGAAAGCCCAGGGCUCAACCCUGGAAUUGCCUUUAAGACUGCAUCGCUAGAAUUGUGGAGAGGUAAGUGGAAUUCCGAGUGUAGAGGUGAAAUUCGUAGAUAUUCGCAAGAACACCAGUGGCGAAGGCGGCUCACUGGCCCGGUACUGACGCUGAGGUGCGAAAGCGUGGGGAGCAAACAGG